CCUUUCGACAUAUUGACUUUGCGUCCGCGUCCGGACGGAAACUACACCCAUUCCGGCAGCAAUGAUAAACUAUAUGAUUGGCUCUCCAAAAAACUGAACUUCACAAUUUCUUAUUUCGUAAUUCCCAACGAGAUUACCCAAGCUAAAUACAGAAAUUUGAGUGACAAUGCUGUCGUAAUCCAUCUAAUCGCGGAUCAAAUUGUAGAUGCAUCCGCCAUUGGUUUCAUCGCAACUCCCGAAAGAAAAUCAGUGAUGGACUUUGCUUACUUCAUUUGGACGGAACCACAGGCCAUGGUAGUUCCUCGACCAGGGGAAGAGCCUCGACUUUUUGCCUUUAUUCGACCUUUUCAACCAUUGGUUAUUAUGUUUCGUCGAUAUUCUAAAAAAGUUUUAUGCUUAUUUUUUUUUUUAAAUUUUGUUUUGACGGAGGGGUUUUUGUUCUCUUCAAAAGUAUGG